AUACAUGCAAGUAGAACGCUGAAGAGAGGAGCUUGCUCUUCUUGGAUGAGUUGCGAACGGGUGAGUAACGCGUAGGUAACCUGCCUUGUAGCGGGGGAUAACUAUUGGAAACGAUAGCUAAUACCGCAUAACAAUGGAUGACACAUGUCAUUUAUUUGAAAGGGGCAAUUGUUCCACUACAAGAUGGACCUGCGUUGUAUUAGCUAGUAGGUGAGGUAAUGGCUCACCUAGGCGACGAUACAUAGCCGACCUGAGAGGGUGAUCGGCCACACUGGGACUGAGACACGGCCCAGACUCCUACGGGAGGCAGCAGUAGGGAAUCUUCGGCAAUGGGGGCAACCCUGACCGAGCAACGCCGCGUGAGUGAAGAAGGUUUUCGGAUCGUAAAGCUCUGUUGUAAGUCAAGAACGGGUGUGAGAGUGGAAAGUUCACACUGUGACGGUAGCUUACCAGAAAGGGACGGCUAACUACGUGCCAGCAGCCGCGGUAAUACGUAGGUCCCGAGCGUUGUCCGGAUUUAUUGGGCGUAAAGCGAGCGCAGGCGGUUUGAUAAGUCUGAAGUUAAAGGCUGUGGCUCAACCAUAGUUCGCUUUGGAAACUGUCAAACUUGAGUGCAGAAGGGGAGAGUGGAAUUCCAUGUGUAGCGGUGAAAUGCGUAGAUGUAUGGAGGAACGCCGGUGGCGAAAGCGGCUCUCUGGUCUGUAACUGACGCUGAGGCUCGAAAGCGUGGGGAGCGAACAGGAUUAGAUACCCUGGUAGUCCACGCCGUAAACGAUGAGUGCUAGGUGUUGGAUCCUUUCCGGGAUUCAGUGCCGCAGCUAACGCAUUAAGCACUCCGCCUGGGG
rnacentral:rRNA from 1 species